CGCGGCCUAUCAGCUUGUUGGUGGGGUGAUGGCCUACCAAGGCUUUGACGGGUAGCCGGCCUGAGAGGGUGACCGGUCACAUUGGGACUGAGAUACGGCCCAGACUCCUACGGGAGGCAGCAGUGGGGAAUAUUGCACAAUGGGCGAAAGCCUGAUGCAGCGACGCCGCGUGAGGGAUGACGGCCUUCGGGUUGUAAACCUCUUUCGCUCAUGGUCAAGCCGCAACAGUGGUUGUGGUGAGGGUAGUGGGUAAAGAAGCGCCGGCUAACUACGUGCCAGCAGCCGCGGUAAUACGUAGGGCGCGAGCGUUGUCCGGAAUUAUUGGGCGUAAAGGGCUUGUAGGCGGUUGGUCGCGUCUGCCGUGAAAUCCUCUGGCUUAACUGGGGGCGUGCGGUGGGUACGGGCUGACUUGAGUGCGGUAGGGGAGACUGGAACUCCUGGUGUAGCGGUGGAAUGCGCAGAUAUCAGGAAGAACACCGGUGGCGAAGGCGGGUCUCUGGGCCGUUACUGACGCUGAGGAGCGAAAGCGUGGGGAGCGAACAGGAUUAGAUACCCUGGUAGUCCACGCUGUAAACGUUGGGCACUAGGUGUGGGGGCCACCCGUGGUUUCUGCGCCGUAGCUAACGCUUUAAGUGCCCCGCCUGGGGAGUACGG
rnacentral:rRNA from 1 species